rnacentral:lncRNA from 1 species
CCGCAACUACUUCAGCAAAACAAGUACUCCAUCCAAUUAAAUAUGUUAGCAAGACCUCCAAUGAGCAUCGUUAUCACCAAACAUAACCUGUUCAACAAACAUCUUCUCUGCUAAGGUGUAUUAUAAGGUACUAACCGUGUAAUUCUGAUAUAUACACCAACAUAAUUACUUUACUAACUGUGUAAUUCGUUUCCAUCACUUUCAAAUAGACUUCAAAAUGACAUUGCUAAAAGUGUAAGUUUACAGAGAGGAACAUGCUUAUAAAGAGAGUUAUAUGAAAUACAGGAAAGUGCAAACACCUUUUUGUUUACACAAUAUAUGAAUGGGCCUUCAGCAGGUCGCGAAAUCACAUUCAUCCGCACAGCGCAAGAGACCCAAUACCCAGUAAUGUGCUUCUUCUUUUAAUCGCUUGUAAGCAUACCACAUACCACAGGCUAAUGACAACAAACAAAGCAAAUGCAAUAGCUAAUAGCCAGGACAGAGUCCCGUAAUACUUAUCAACUUUUAAGACUGUAGACUUUGAGCAACUUUAGUUAGAGAAGUACUGCACAAUAUAUGAAUGCGCCUUCAGUAGGUUGCGAAAU